rnacentral:rRNA from 1 species
AUUGAACGCUGGCGGCAUGCCUUACACAUGCAAGUCGAACGGCAGCACGGGAGCAAUCCUGGUGGCGAGUGGCGAACGGGUGAGUAAAGUAUCGGAACGUGCCCAGUCGUGGGGGAUAACGUAGCGAAAGUUACGCUAAUACCGCAUACGAUCUAUGGAUGAAAGCGGGGGAUCGCAAGACCUCGCGCGAUUGGAGCGGCCGAUAUCAGAUUAGGUAGUUGGUGGGGUAAAGGCUCACCAAGCCGACGAUCUGUAGCUGGUCUGAGAGGACGACCAGCCACACUGGGACUGAGACACGGCCCAGACUCCUACGGGAGGCAGCAGUGGGGAAUUUUGGACAAUGGGCGCAAGCCUGAUCCAGCCAUGCCGCGUGCAGGACGAAGGCCUUCGGGUUGUAAACUGCUUUUGUACGGAACGAAAAGGUUUGACUUAAUACGUUGGACUCAUGACGGUACCGUAAGAAUAAGCACCGGCUAACUACGUGCCAGCAGCCGCCGCGG